rnacentral:lncRNA from 1 species
UCGCAAGAAGAGAAAGUUUGGCCACGUGGAACGGCCUAGUCAGCAACCCCAGCGAACCAGAGCACGUCGCAUGGCAGGCAGGCUGACAUCGGCUCCAUGCGGAAGGGCACGCGGGUGAUCCGCGUGCCUGGGCGAUCCAACAACCUAGAUCGCAUCCCACACAUGCGAACGACCUAGAUGCAUUCCUUCUUUAUACACGAUUAAACGAACGAGAUUGAUCGCGAUGGAAUGCUCAUAUUCAUCCACACAAUCAGCUUAAACAAAAAAUCAUCGAACGACCCUCCUCGCUCCACG